UACGGAAGCAGCAGUGGGGAAUAUUGCACAAUGGGCGAAAGCCUGAUGCAGCUAUGCCGCGUGUAUGAAGAAGGCCUUAGGGUUGUAAAGUACUUUCAUCGGGGAGGAAAAAACAAAACUAAUAAUUUUAUUUCUUGACGUUACCCGAAAAAGAAGCACCGGCUAACUCCGUGCCAGCAGCCGCGGUAAUACGGAGGGUGCUAGCGUUAAUCAGAAUUACUGGGCGUAAAGAGCACGUAGGUGGUUUUUUUAAAGUCAGAUGUGAAAUCCCUGGGCUUAACCUAGGAACUGCAUUUUGAAACUGAAAUACUAGAGUAUCGUAGAGGGAGGUAGAAUUCUAGGUGUAGCGGUGAAAUGCGUAGAUAUCUGGAGGAAUACCUGUGGCGAAAGCGGCCUCCUAAACGAAUACUGACACUGAGGGUGCGAAAGCGUGGGGAGCAAACAGGGAUUAGAUACCCGU
rnacentral:rRNA from 1 species